GUGGCACCCAGAAGUUUCCGGGGCUCUCCUGUCUCCUCCACCGUAAACGCCAACCCCCAAAAAUUUAUGGCGGCCCCGUUCUCUUUUCUCUUCUCUUGGUUUGCGAUUUCGCGCAGCAACCUUGUCCUCUCCUUCGAAUAUAUAAAACCACCUCAGGUGACCUUUAAACGGCUAAACCUAAAUGAGGGGAGCCACCACAUUACCUGCAAAAAAUAUUCUCAAUAGAAUCUAUCCAAUGGGAGGGACAUGGAGACUCAUGACAGUUUCAACCCCGAGUAGGCAGGAAAAGAAUGAGCCAGGGGAAGCAGGUGAAAUAACAAACAAUCAUGUUGAACCAGUGGUUACCUUCAGCAAGCCACCUUUACCACCUGUUCUUGGCCCUUUGGUUGCUCUCUCAUUACUGGAAAUGUCAAGCAAUGAUGGAGAAGAAAGUUAACAAAAGUUUUGAAAGGCAUUUGUAUAGUGAACUUUAAAAUGUUUUGCAGUACCCUGAGCACGUAUCUUAGCCUUUGAGCCACAUACAUCCGAACAUUGGUGUGGUGUGCCACCAGUGGAAGGAUCAAGGGCUCUACCAACAUCUUGUAGAUCUAAAUAACAAAAUAACCAGUACAUCAGGCUUUUGCAGGAAACCUACAGCUCAAGUAGUGGGCAUGUGUUAUUAUAAUCUGUGAGCUGUGUUUUAGCGGUGUGUCAAUCUGUUGGUAAUAUAAGUGAAAGGACAUUCUCUUAGCCAGUGCAAAAAAUUGUCAAAUAGUGAAAUGAUGAUCUCUUACAUUUCCUGAAUUGUCUGUAAACAAACCUCCAUCAGUAUAUUGUAGUCAACGUUGCUCUCUUGUCAGCAUAUUUCAGCAAUUAUUUGUGUUUUUCUACUGAAUAAUGUAAGAUGUGAAUUAAAAUAACCAUGUAUGGAACUUAAGAAUUA